rnacentral:lncRNA from 1 species
GCACAGGAGGAGCUGAGAGUUCUAUGUCUUCAUCCAAAGGCUGCUAGUGGAAGACUGACCUCCAGGCAAAUAGGAUGACGCCAACUGUUGACGACUACAUACCGAGAACCCACAGGCUUCACGCUCAGUUCCAGAAUUCACAAAGGAAACCAAGAGAGAUGAACUCUGUCCCUAACCCAGUCUCAGCCACAGAAAGGGUCAGGGUGGAUAAAGGAUAAUCAUAUUCACUAGCCAUGAUCAAUGAAGCUGUUACAAGAAGACGAAGGGUCGAGAAGGAGAGAGGCGAGCUUGUCGGACGGCAUCGAUAAUUACUUCCUUCAGGUCGGGGUUGCGGAGGUUUCUUGGAAAGAGAGUUGAGAACGGUUGCAGAAACUGUCGCACCGUGGGAUCGGUCCCAGGGUCAUCCCUGGGCUCCAGAGCACUUCAGGUCCUUCAUCCCUGGCUGCCUCGAAGCAGACUCCAGGAACACAGUGCCCCUGAAAUAAGAUCACAGAGGAAGAGCUGCAGGGAUUCUCAUUGCCCCCCCUUCCCUGUCAAGGGUGACUGUCUUCAGCUCAUUUAACGAGGAGAGAACUCAGGACCAACCUGCAGCCAGGGGGGGGGAUUGGGGAGGCGCAGGCCCCCACACAGUCACAGCCCAGGCU